rnacentral:rRNA from 1 species
GAUUGAACGCUGGCGGCAGGCCUAACACAUGCAAGUCGAGCGGUAGCACAGAGAGCUUGCUCUCGGGUGACGAGCGGCGGACGGGUGAGUAAUGUCUGGGAAACUGCCUGAUGGAGGGGGAUAACUACUGGAAACGGUAGCUAAUACCGCAUAAUGUCGCAAGACCAAAGUGGGGGACCUUCGGGCCUCAUGCCAUCAGAUGUGCCCAGAUGGGAUUAGCUAGUAGGUGGGGUAACGGCUCACCUAGGCGACGAUCCCUAGCUGGUCUGAGAGGAUGACCAGCCACACUGGAACUGAGACACGGUCCAGACUCCUACGGGAGGCAGCAGUGGGGAAUAUUGCACAAUGGGCGCAAGCCUGAUGCAGCCAUGCCGCGUGUGUGAAGAAGGCCUUCGGGUUGUAAAGCACUUUCAGCGGGGAGGAAGGCGGUGAGGUUAAUAACCUCAUCGAUUGACGUUACCCGCAGAAGAAGCACCGGCUAACUCCGUGCCAGCAGCCGCGGUAAUACGGAGGGUGCAAGCGUUAAUCGGAAUUACUGGGCGUAAAGCGCACGCAGGCGGUCUGUCAAGUCGGAUGUGAAAUCCCCGGGCUCAACCUGGGAACUGCAUUCGAAACUGGCAGGCUAGAGUCUUGUAGAGGGGGGUAGAAUUCCAGGUGUAGCGGUGAAAUGCGUAGAGAUCUGGAGGAAUACCGGUGGCGAAGGCGGCCCCCUGGACAAAGACUGACGCUCAGGUGCGAAAGCGUGGGGAGCAAACAGGAUUAGAUACCCUGGUAGUCCACGCCGUAAACGAUGUCGAUUUGGAGGUUGUGCCCUUGAGGCGUGGCUUCCGGAGCUAACGCGUUAAAUCGACCGCCUGGGGAGUACGGCCGCAAGGUUAAAACUCAAAUGAAUUGACGGGGGCCCGCACAAGCGGUGGAGCAUGUGGUUUAAUUCGAUGCAACGCGAAGAACCUUACCUGGUCUUGACAUCCACAGAACUUUCCAGAGAUGGAUUGGUGCCUUCGGGAACUGUGAGACAGGUGCUGCAUGGCUGUCGUCAGCUCGUGUUGUGAAAUGUUGGGUUAAGUCCCGCAACGAGCGCAACCCUUAUCCUUUGUUGCCAGCGGUCCGGCCGGGAACUCAAAGGAGACUGCCAGUGAUAAACUGGAGGAAGGUGGGGAUGACGUCAAGUCAUCAUGGCCCUUACGACCAGGGCUACACACGUGCUACAAUGGCAUAUACAAAGAGAAGCGACCUCGCGAGAGCAAGCGGACCUCAUAAAGUAUGUCGUAGUCCGGAUUGGAGUCUGCAACUCGACUCCAUGAAGUCGGAAUCGCUAGUAAUCGUAGAUCAGAAUGCUACGGUGAAUACGUUCCCGGGCCUUGUACACACCGCCCGUCACACCAUGGGAGUGGGUUGCAAAAGAAGUAGGUAGCUUAACCUUCGGGAGGGCGCUUACCACUUUGUGAUUCAUGACUGGGGUGAAGUCGUAACAAGGUAACCAAGGGCGAA